rnacentral:rRNA from 1 species
UACGGAGGGUGCAAGCGUUAUCCGGAUUCACUGGGUUUAAAGGGUGCGUAGGUGGGCAGGUAAGUCAGUGGUGAAAUCUCCGGGCUUAACCCGGAAACUGCCAUUGAUACUAUCUGUCUUGAAUAUGGUGGAGGUAAGCGGAAUAUGUCAUGUAGCGGUGAAAUGCUUAGAUAUGACAUAGAACACCAAUUGCGAAGGCAGCUUACUACCCGAAUAUUGACACUGAGGCACGAAAGCGUGGGGAUCAAACAGG